GGGCCGUUAGCUCAGUUGGUAGAGCACCGGACUUUUAAUCCGAUGGUCCUGCGUUCGAGUCGCAGACGGCCCACCA
rnacentral:tRNA from 11 species